rnacentral:lncRNA from 1 species
AAACUUGAUCUUUACCAGAGGUGAGAAGUUGCUGUUGAAGCCACACUGCUGAUGAGGACUCAGGCAGGUGUCCCGAGAAAUCGCCCAGUCGUGAGAGGAACCAUAAGAACUUUGUAAGGUAAAUACUUUUCUUAACUUUUUAAAAUCUGGGCAAGACACAAGGUCAAUGUUUAAAAUAAUUACUGUUGGAUUUUCUUUAUAAGAAGAAUAACGCUAAUUCACAUUUUUAGCCCGAUUUCUUUAAUUCAUAUUUGGCGAUAGAGCUAUUACCAUUUAUUAGAUUUUGUAUCACAUUCUGUAUAACAUACACAAAAUGCGUAUACAUGUACAUAUAUACGAAUCUACACACGUUUACCACUAAAUACUGAAAAGCGUUAUCGAAAGUCUUUAUCUGCCUAGAUUGCCAAGUAGAAAGUGUGACCACUUUUUGAAAAAUAUGAAUACACUGAAUCAUUGAAAUAUCUUGGUGUCCCAGAGAGUAGAACCAGGAUAGUCUAAAGCGUGCAAAUAUUAAAUUGUGUGAAGCAUUUUGGUUCUAAAUUUCAGUUAAGAGAGAGGCUAUUUCACAGUUGGCCUACUUCCUACAGGAAACCACAGUGAUGUUUUAUUAAGUAAUGGAAUAUAGUUUGUCUCUUCAUUUACCUGUAAGAAAUGUGGCAGGGAGAGACUUGAAACUAGGACUUAAAGAGUGACAAGUACCAGGCAUGAGAAACACAGCUCCCUUAAAGAAAAAGGUCAACGUGGUAAAUAGAUCUCAAAGCAUAACAACUACAAAAGAAUAAUGAGCAUACGAAAAUAAUUUAACUUCAGUUACAUAAAAGAGUGAAAAUUA